UUCUAUGGCCAUGUAACCUUGAGUAUGACUGCUUUUGUCUGAUCUUGGAAGAUAAGUAAAGAUAGGCCUGGUUAGUACCUAGAUGAGAGACCACUUGGGUACAAUGAGAGGCACCAUGAUAU
rnacentral:rRNA from 1 species